GGCUCUAUGAUGAUUUUCAGUCAAACAUUCUUUAAAGUAUCUGAACAAAAUAGUGAAAACUCAGUAACACUACUCUCAUCAGGACCAAGGUCC